rnacentral:rRNA from 1 species
GCUUACGGCCAUACCAACCUGGCUAUGCCCGAUCUCGUCUGCUCUCAGAAAAUAAGCAGGUUUGGGCCUGGUUAGUACUUGGAUGUGAGACCGCCUGGGAAUACCAGGUGCUGUAAGCU